UUGACGCCGGCGACGCGCAGCCGGGCCCGCUCCUCCUGCGCUCCGCCAGUGUCCGGCCGCUGGCCGGCCUUCGUGACGGGCGGCGGGCCGCGGGGCCGCGGCGUGGGGCGGGCGGGCGCGAGCUGCCCGCGGCUGCCUUCGUCGGCCCCUGAGCUCGCCCGCAGCGAGCCGCCGCGGAGCCUCGUCGCCCGCUGCCGCCGGCCAGCAAGAUGAUGUGUGAGGUGAUGCCGACCAUCAGUGAGGCAGAAGGCCCCCCGGGAGGCAGCGGGAGCCAUGGGGCCGGCUCCCCGGCCCAGCCCGACGCCGACUCGCACUUCGAGCAGCUGAUGGUGUCCAUGCUGGAAGAGAGGGACCGUCUUCUGGACACGCUGAGAGAGACCCAGGAGACGCUGGCGCUGACGCAGGGCAAGCUGCACGAGGUCGGCCACGAGAGGGACUCUCUGCAGAGGCAGCUCAACACCGCGCUGCCGCAGGGUGCUUUAGGAAGGCAGAGAGCGGGCCUGAAUUACAGUGCCGUGGGUUAAGCUGCUGCCUGGUGAUGCGCCUGGGAAAACAGCAGAAGGCGGCCCAGGAGUUUGGCCCUGCACCUACAUGGAAGACCUGGAUGGAGCUGCCGAUUUCUGGUUUCUGCCUGGCCCGUCCCCGGCCAUUGUGGCCAUCUAGGGAGUGAACCAGCAAGAUGGAAGAUCUCUUUCUUCUCUCCUUCUCUAACUCUGCCUUUCAAAUAAAAUAAAUAAAUCUUAAAAAAAAAAAAAAAAAGAAAAGGCAGAGAGCUCUGUUCUCUCUCCACCUUGAAAAUGAUAUGGGUCGAAAAAUGUGCAUGACAGACGAUGUCACGGUAUCUGACGCUCUCUGAAACAGGCAGAUGUGGGGGGGUGUUCUUUUGAGUGGUCUGCGGUGAUACUUCUUUUCAGUGCCCAUAGAAAUAUGAAAGACUUCAUUUGUUACUAAACGGGAAACCCAGCUGAUGCAAAGAGGCUUACAGAGAUGCUGUGGGAUCUUACGUGUGCUGUGGGAUCUUACGUGUGCUGUGGGAUCUUACGUGUGCUGUGGGGCUCAGCCCCGCAGCUCUACCCGGGGUGUGUUCACGUGGAAGAGACUUGGCAAACUGGCAUCUUGUUCCCGGCACUGUUGGAGCCACUUCCCAAGAAUGCAGUGUGCUUCACUUCCCCUGCCUUUUUGUGACUGGCUUGAAUGAAUGAGUUAAAGGAGGUCACCCGCGACAUGCCUUGCCGUGUCUUUUAUUAUUUUAAUGUUUAAAAAGAUUCAUUUAUGGCCAGCCCUGCAGCUCACUAGGCUAAUCUUCUGCCUGCGGCGCCGGCACCCCAGGUUCCAAUCCCGGUUGGGGCGCCGGAUUCUGUCCCGGUUGCCCCUCUUCAGUCCAGCUCUCUGCUGUGGCCCACGAGUGCAGUGGAGGAUGGCCCAAGUGCUUGGGCCCUGCACCCACAUGGGAGACCAGGAGAAGCACCUGGCUCCUGGCUUCGGAUCGGCACAGCGCCGGCCGUAGUGGCCAUUUGGGGAGUGAACCAAUGGAAAAGGAAGACCUUUCUCUCUGUCUCUCUCUCUAACUCUGCCUGUCAAAAAAAAAAAAAAAAGAUUUAUUUAUAUUAUUUGAAAGGCAAAGUUACAGAGAGAAAGAGGGAAGGAGGGGGAGAGAGAGAGAGAUUGAGAUCGAGUGGACAGUUGAGAGAGAGACAGAGAGAAAGGUCUUCCCUUUUUGCCGUUGGUUUACCCUCCAAUGGCCGCCGCGGCCGGCACACCGCGCAGAUCUGAUGGCAGGACCCAGGUACUUAUCCUGGUCUCCCAUGGGGUGCAGGGCCCGAGUACUUGGGCCAUCCUCCACUGCACUCCCUGGCCACAGCAGAGAGCUGGCCUGGAAGAGGGGCAACCGGGACAGAAUCCGGCGCCCCGACCCGGACUAGAACCCGGUGUGCCGGCGCCGCGAGGCGGAUUAGCCUAGUGAGCCGCGGCGCCGGCCAAAGAUCUUUCAUCUACUGAUUCACUCCCCAAAUGGCCAAAACGGCCAGAGGUGGGCCAGGUUGAAGCCAGGAACCAGGAGCUUCUUUCUGGUCUCCCACAUGGGUGCAGGGGCCCACGCACUUGGGCCAUCCUCUGCUGCUUUCCCAGGCUCAUUAUCAGGGAGCUGAAUUGAAAGUGGACAGCUGAGAAUCAAACUGGCGCCCAUGUGGGAUGCCAGCGCUUCUGGCCGUGACUUAACCUGCUGUGCCUCAGAGCCAGCUCCCUCGCCAUGUCUUAUAUCCUGUCUGUCUACACACCUGUUUCUCUCCUCACCUCUGCCCACACAUACUCCGAGGUCAAGGUGAGUGGGAGGCAAGGAAGGCUGUGUGUCUGGGGGAUUAUGAACUUGGAGCUGGCUGGCCCAUACGCCACUUUUCCAUGGUUGCCUCUGAGCCGGGGAUCGUAAGUACUGGCUGCUGUUGCAAAUACAUGCUGCGUGUCUGCCGCUGUUAGGCUCUGUCCAAGGGCUGUUUGCGAGUUUGCAUUCACUGCUCUCGGGCGCCGGCAGAGCAGGAGAGCAGUACGUUGUUCAGGGUCCUCUGAUGUAAAUCAGGACGUUGAGGCACAGGGACGUUGGAGAGCCCACUGAGUUCUGGAGGUGCUGAGUGGUGCUCCUCUCUGAACCAGGCAGGGCUGGCUGCGGCAGUGUCCCCGGGUCCAGGUGGGGUCUCAGGAAAGGGGCUGGUUCUUUGGCAGAGUCUCUCCCUCCCAGCCCGCUCCACCCCUGCCCUGCCCUGCUCUGCUCUGAGCGGCAGGGAACCUGCGUGUGCUUUUCCUGCGGCUGGCUGGUGCCGCCCUGGCCCAGUGCUGAGGACACAGCAGGCACAGGUGCUGCGUCCCGAGUGGGAGGGUCUCGGUGUUUUAGCAAUCGUCUGUCCUCAGAUGUGGGAGUCUGAUUCUGGCUCUUCCACUGGGUUAAUCCAAGGCAUUUAGAAUUUUUAUUUUCCCCCUUCUUCAUUGUUUGUCCCAGAAACUAAGUUUGCCACUUUAAAACAAGGGGCGUUAAGCGGGUCCAAGGCCAGCCUGGUGGCGAGUGUGUGCUGCUCUCAUCCUGCUUCCUGCCAUCAUAAAAUUCAAACUCACUGAUGUGUGAUCUUUACCAUUUUUAUUUAAUUAGUUUAGUGUAAAAUGAUGGUUCCCAGACUUCUCUUUUAUCUUCCCCCGAAAGAAACCUUUUAUAAGAGGAAUGCAAGCGGCACGCGUUUCCUAGUACAGCUGUAGGAGUGUGUGGUUCUUCCAGCAUCCCGCCCUCCCACCACACUCCCGCCCCUCCCCUCCUCCCUCCCCAUUCCCAGUCCCAUUCUCCACUAGGAUCCAUUUUCAGUUAACUUUAUGUAUAGAAGACCAACUCUAAACUCAGUAAAAGUUCAACAAUUUGCAUAAAAAAACCUGUUUCUUUUUUUUAAUUUAAUUAAUUAAUUUAUUUUUGGACAGGCAGAGUGGACAGGGAGAGAGAGACAGAGAGAAAGGUCUUCCUUUGCCGUUGGUUCACCCUCCACUGGCCACCGCGGCCGGCGCACCGCGUAGAUCCGAUGGCAGGAGCCAGGUGCUUCUCCUGGUCUCCCAUGGGGUGCAGGGCCCAAGCACCUGGGCCAUCCUCCACUGCACUCCCUGGCCACAGCAGAGAGCUGGCCUGGAAGAGGGGCAACCGGGACAGAAUCCGGCGCCCCGACCGGGACUAGAACCUGGUGUGCCGGCGCCACAAGGCAGAGGAUUAGCCUAGUGAGCCACGGCGCUGGCUUAAAACCUGUUUCUAAACAGUCGAGACAAGGGCUGUUCAAAGUCAUUGCAUCUCAAAAUUAAUUUUGCCUUUUUUUUUUUUUGAGAAACUUAAUUAACUUUAAAGAAACACCCAAGAGUAAGACAUCAUUUGCGAGCACUUAGACAUAACUAUAACUUAGGAGACUUCAGAAUAUCUUCCACCUAAUACAUUAAAAGAAAGUAAGUCCUUGAGAACAAGUUUCAUCAUGAAUUAAGGAAGCACCUAAGAAAACAGUUGCUUCAGGAUUUUGGAGAUAACCGUAAGUGAAUUCCUGAAAGAAAAGUGACGGCUCCGGAGCAGAACCGCGGACGGCGGCGGGCGAGGCCGCUUUCCUGUCCUUUCCUCUUGGGCUGCAGACACGGGACAAGCGGUGGCUGCUCUUCUGCUCUGUCCCUGGUGACCCCCUGGAACCCAGUCACUGCUGUGUCCCUGGUGACCCCCUGGAACCCAGGUCACUGCUGUGUCCCUGGUGACCCCCUGGAACCCAGUCACUGCUGUGUCCCUGGUGACCCUCUGGAACCCAGUCACUGCUCUGUCCCUGGUGACCCUCUGGAACCCAGGUCACUGCUCUGUCCCUGGUGACCCCCUGGAACGCAGGUCACUGCUGUGUCCCUGGUGACCCCCUGGAACCCAGGUCACUGCUCUGUCCCUGGUGUGGUGACCCUCUGGAACCCAGGUCACUGCUGUGUCCCUGGUGACCCUCUGGAACCCAGGUCACUGCUGUGUCCCUGGUGACCCUCUGGAACCCAGGUCACUGCUCUGUCCCGGAAAGGGGGUGGACAGGCCCGGUGGCUUACAAAGCUUCUCUGAAGGUCUUGUCGGGGGGCCACAGGCCAGGGUGUAGUGGCUCAGCUGUGAGCCAUUGGCCCUGGAGACUCGCUUGCUGGGACAUCUGGCUUCACACUGGUCCUCAAAAGUGUCCUGGAGGGACAGGUUGAAAGCCCUAGGACCUGGGUGAUCUCAACAACUCUUCCAGCUGUGCAAUUCCUGAUUCUGUAAGCUAUAGAGAGGCCGCAAUCCGACUGCAGGACCCACCUGCAGAACGAGCAGGUGGCUGAAGGGGAGGGAAUGAAGGUUGGCGGAGCACAGGCUGUCCUCUGACUCCCUCCUGCUGCUGGAGGUGUGUCCACAGCCCUGCCUUGAGUGAGAAGGGCUGGGAGUCAGAGGUUGCGAGAAUUUUCUUCAUCGCUUGGGCUUUUUGUGAUCUGAAGAGUGAAGUGCUGUUUACCAGGUUGUGGUUCUGAGUCCCACCUGGAAGGCGGCUCCGGCCGCGGGGCCUCGUGCCGCUGCCCGGCAGAGGCCUCGUGUGGCAGCCGCUCUCUGGUGUUCCCCGUGGGGUGCGGUAAUGAAGUCCGGUGAGAAGGAUGCUUUUCUUUGUGGCUCUCAGGGCUCAGUCUGAUCAUUCGGGGAAACGGGAGAAGGGAAGUGCAGACGUGAGGAAGUGCACGGUGUCUGCCGUGGCCGUCUGCUUACACGCCGCGCGCCCGUGGGUGCAGCGUUGGCUGGAGGGUCGUGGUGUUUGUUGAGAAGGGUGGAGGGGAGGAUGUCUGCAGUGGUUAAGGCUUCACUUCUGAUUCCAGCUGCUCACGGAUGUGCACCCUGGGAGGCAGCCGGUCACGGCUCAAGUAGUUGGGUCCCAGAGUGAGUCUCGGAUCGAGUCCCAGGUGGAGUUCCAGGCUCCUGGUUUCAGCUUGGCCCACCCUGGCUGUUGUGGGCACUGGGGAGUAAACCAGCUGACAAGAGAUCUCUGUCUGCCUUUCAAAUAAAUAAAAAUAGGUCAAUAAAAAAUUAAACAGAAGCGUGGAGAAAAUUCUAGAUUGUGAAUAUACAAGUAGUGAGUAAAAUAACACUCGAGUUAGAGGGCUUAGUUAGACUGUGUGUUCUGUGUGGAAAAACACUCAUCUGUUGUUGUCGGAUUUUGACCGGGCUGCAGUGUGUCUGGGAAGUAGGGAGAGCCAAGCCUGGCGGCCACGUGGCCUGAGCCUGCUGUGAGACGAGAUGUUCUGUGGAAGCUGCUUGUCCCGGAACCUGCCCCUGCACUGCCGACCCGCAGCCUGGUGCUGGACUGCUCAGAACCUCCCAGUUCUAGUCUGGGCUCUCAGAGUGUGGCUGGGAGAGCAAAGGCUGGUGCCUUGAGCAGCUCUUCUGGUCACUUAGGUUCCCAAAGGCGAGGGCCGAGCUGUCUGAGAAGUGGCGGCAGCGUGACUGACCUUCCCAGCAGGGCGGAGACUGCGCCUGUGAGGCUGAAGGGACAGCUUGGCAGUGGCUCGGGCGGCAGGUGGUGAUGCUGCUCCCCUGUAGGAGCACCGGAACACCGGAGUGAGUCCUCCCCUCGCAGCUUCCCCUGGAAACCCACAGCGUGUUUGGAUUUCCUUCCUUGGACCGCUUUCCUAUCUGUGUGUGUAGAUGUAGACAAAGACAUGGAAAUGUAUAUGAAAGGUGGAGAGAGACAGAGAACUCUUCCAUCUGCUGGUUCAUUCACAAAAUACCAGGGUUGGGCCAGGCUGAAGCCAGGGGCCCAGAGCUCAGUGUGGGUCUCCCGUGAGUGGCAGGGACCCAGGCACCGGAGCCGUCACCUGCUGUCUCCCAGGGUGCAUGAGCAGGAAGCUGGCGUUGGAGCAGAGCCCAGGCUCCACUCUGAAAUGGGAUGCUGGUGUCCCAAGCGUCGUCUUUGCCGCGGACACAGAUGCCUGCCCCGUUGUCUUCUCUGUUCUGCCCUUGUUAGGGUUGUUCCUUUUGCUGGGUGGAGUGGGUCCUGCUGGGUGGAGUGGGUCCUGCUGGGUGGAGUGGGUCCUGCUGGGUGGAGUGGGUCCUGUUGCUGCGGAGCACAGGGAGGCUCUCGCAGGAGCAAGUCGUGAGUGAUUAGCAUAAAGCUUUUCCUUUAAAAAAUUUUUAAAGAUUUUGUUAUUUAUUUGAGAAGUAGAGUUAAAGACAGAGAGAGAGAAAGGUCUUUCAUCCACUGGUUCACUCCCCAAAUGGCUGCAAUGGCUGGGGCUGGGCCAGUCCAAAGCCAGGGACCAGGAGCUUCUUUCAGGUCUCCCAUGCAGGUGCAGGGGCCCCCAGCACUUGGGCCAUCUUCCAUUGCCUUCCCAGGCCAUAAGCAGAGAGCUGGAUUGGAAGUGGAGCAGCCGGGACACGAACUGGGCAUCCAUAGGGGAUGCUGGCACCACAGGCGGAGGCUUAGCCUGCUGUGCUGGCCCUGGGAUAAAGGUUUUAAGUCAGAACGAAUGUACGCUCUCCAGUUGUGCAAACCAUGGAAAUCUUUGUUCCAAGCAAAGUUUAGUGAUAAAUUAAGAGAGAGCUUGAAAGCAUAUUCCUGCUGAUACGGGAGCUUUGCAGAAACCCUCAAAUGCCUGGUGCCUUCUUCACGUUCCCCACACUGUGGGUGCACUCAAGCGGUUGCUGCGGUGACAGCCCGGUGUCACUGGAAGGGCUGUUUCCUAGAGGGUUCCUGCAGGUGUCCACACAGGAACCUGUUCAUUACAGCACGUCCAGGUGGACACACCCCUGUGCAGGCCUGGAAACUGGCUUCCUGGGGCUCUGUGGAAAGAAGCUAGAGUGAAGCUUUCCCACGCCGUGCGCUCUUCCUGUGCUGCCGCAGAGAAAAGUCCUCUCCCUGGAAGUUCUGUGGUAACGUGCCAUCAGGAGGAACACCAAGUUCAAGUCACUCUGACAACCAUCAGUCGUGUAGACACAGGCGUCUAGAGUGCAGUUGUUGUUCCUUUGUCCUGGGCCGGCCCUGUGACCGCUGCAGCAUCCGAGCGUGACGUUGCUUUCCAGGCUGGCCUGGGGCUCCUGGUCACACCGGGCAGUGCUGGGGAGACCUCAGAAAGCUUUGAGGGAAGGAAGCCCCUUGGACAGUGUAUCCUGCCGACUCAGCAGCACACGGGUGCUGUCUGUGGCUCUCACCAUGGAGUCCCUUGCUUCUGUGUCAGCAGUCACUUUGAGGAGGUGGCCCGGGAGUGGCCCAGCCCUGCCUUUGCGACUCUACGGCUGUGCUGAUGCUUCGCUUCCCUCGCUCAGUGCUCAGUGCCUUCCAGCACACCCAGCGUACUUCACGCUGCCUGAGCUUAGCCUCAGCCUUCGCUUAGCCUCAGCCUUCGCUUUCAGAGCUGUUGCCUGGUGCUCUCUACGCUGAGCAUCAAAAUCCAAGCUUGUGGAGCCUGGUUUUCCCACUGCGCGUUCUGCUGUGUCCACUCCUUUGUGAACGUCCUGUGCUCUGGCCAAACCAGCCUGGCCACUCUGCUGCCCUUCCCUGCUCCCUUAUCACAGCCCCACGCCUCUGUCCAGAGCCGAAGUCAGGCCUGCAGUCUGCUCUGACCCUCACAGGUGCUCCCCCUCUUCCUCUUCCUGUUCGUCCUGUCCAUAGGAGGGGGCAGGAGCUGAUGCCUGGGGCUGAUUUUAUUUUUUGUUCUUUUUAACUUUACCCUACUUUUUAGAGAUGCCAUCAGCCCUAAGAAACAGCACAGACGAGGAUGGGCGUUAGCCUGACAGCCUGGGUUUGCUUCCCCUCUGGCUCCAGCUCUCCACCACUGCAGCCCCUGGGAGGCAGCAAGGACGGCUGAGGAACUGGGGUUCCUACCACUCAUGGUGGAAGACCUGAUUGAAUUCCUUGCUCCCAUCUUUGGCCCUGGCCAUUGUGGGCAUUUGGGAGAGGAGCCCAGGUGGUGUGCUCGCUUGCUCUCACUCCCUCUCAAAUACAUACAUACAUAAAUAAAAACAUUCUGUGCUAAAACCAAAUUCAUGGUUCAUCCUAGGUAAUGUUACAAAAAACACAAAGAUGACACCCACAGGUCAGGUGUAGACACGGACGACAUCCACAGGUCAGGUGUGUCAGGAUCUGCUGGGGGCAGAGAUCUGGGAAGAUAGUCCGGGCAGAUCCUCCCUCCCUCCGGUGGGGGUGGCAGGAGUUGCUGAUGAGGUAAGCGCCUUCCCCACCACCUGCUGACCUGGCUUCUGUUGUUUUCUGCCUAGCUGCUCCUCGUCUCCUCCCGUACAAACCUGUUCCAAGUCUUUGGUCCUCUGCCUGGUAAAUUUCUAAUCUUGGCUGUGAUAUAUCACCUCUGAGACCAUUCUGUCCUCUGUAAAACUGGGACACUGUGUAUUUCCCGGCAUCGCAGGCAGAUUUGGUGAGAACUGAUGGACAGCACCCUUAGACACAGGCCUUCAUCAGACAGGAGACGUGUGUCUGCAGCCUCCUAGGCGUGGCUCCUCCACCACCCUGCUGGGGACCGGGGCACUGGUUCUCGGUGCGGCCUCUUAGGAUGCCAUGUGUGCUGGUUGCUGACCACGGGCUGCGGGUUGGCUGAGUGGCCUUUGCAUCCCUCUUACCUGCCUCCUGUGCUGGGUAAAAUAAGAUGAUUGUGUGUCCCUGUGUUGCUGAGAAUAAAAUGUGGUCAUAUAUAUCAAGAUUUUUUUUAGAAAAGGUUUAUUUAUUGGGGCUGGUGCUGUGGCACAGCAGGUUAAAGCCCCAGCCUGCAGUGCCAGCAUCCUUGUUCAAGUCCCGGCUACUCGACUUCCAAUCCAGCUCCCUGCUGAUGCCCUGGGAAAGCAGUGGAAGAUGGGCCAAGUCUUUGACCCCUGCACCCACGAGGGAGACCCAGAAGAGGCUCCUGGCUCCUGGCUUUGGAUCAGCUCAGCUCCAGUCAUUGUGACCAUUUGGGGAGUGAACCAGUGCAUGGAAGA